UUAGCAAAGUUUCAGAAACGCGCUAUACAUUGCUAGACCAUAUAUUACUUAUAUUCUCUCCUCUUCCUCUUAUUCUUCUCAGACUAUUUACCUUCUCUCUCUCUUACUUUUCCGGACGUCCAUUGAAGGCAUCAUCUACCUAUUUGCAACCUACUACAAUCUUCCUUUCACAUCCAUUGCUGGUAAUCUACCGAUUGAGAUCUAGUUCUGUUUGUUUCUCUAAUUCUUCCCAAUGUUCACUGGAUCUACCUAUCUUCAAGCUAUUUAAAGCAAAGAAAUAUGGGUAGACAGAGAGAUCCAUUUUGGGAUCAUGCUGAGAAUGUAAAUGGCCGUUUCAAAUGUAAUCAUUGUAAACAAGAUUUUCCUGGAGGUGCAUCAAGGAUUAAAGCACACUUGGCCGGAGUUCCAGGUCAUGACAUUAAGGCAUGUAAUGCCGUGCCUCAAGAUGUUCAAGAAAAAGCUCAAGCAACUCAAAAAAAAAGAGAAGCUCAAGUAACUCACGGGAACAACAAAAAACCUAAAAGUGUACCAACCUCAGGUUCAAAAUCAAAAACGAAGAUGAUUAAAAUUGUCACACAGGGUGAGGAAGAAUAUUGGGCUGAAAUUAUCCUCAAUGAUGUUGUGGACAGACUAAGAGCCAAUGUGUCUUCACUUGCCAUUGAGCAUAUCAAUUUUGAGUUGAGUUUCAAGGUGGAGUUGAUAAAUCUUCUUGAAACAUUAUUCAAGAUUAAAUUUGUGUUAGCUGAUGCUCAAAAGAGGCAAUCAAGUGAUGAGUCUAUGAGGAUAUGGUUAACAAAUCUUAGAGAUGUAGCUUAUGAUGCUGAUAAUGUGCUAGACAAAUUUAGCUAUGAGAGUUUUUUGCAAAAGGCACAGAUUCAAAAUCAAAUGAUGGAUCAGGUAUGUAACUUUUCACCAUGCAAUCUUGAUAAAGUUAAGACCAUCAAACAAUUGUUGGAUGAAAUUGUGAAUGAUGUAGCUGACUUUGGCCUUAGAAUGGAGUUGGUGAAUUCAAUCCCCAAAAUUAGCUUGGACAUGAAUAUAGACUCCCUCCUCAAUGAUUCAGAAGUUGUAGGAAGAGAAUACGAUAUCAAAAAAAUAGUAAACAUACUCAGUUCAAGCAAUCAACAGGUUAUCUUUGUUCUCCCUAUAGUGGGUAUGGCAGGUCUUGGAAAGACAACUUUAGCAAAACUUGUGUAUAACAAUGAACAGAUAAAGAAACAUUUUGAUGUACUAGCAUGGGUAAAUGUUGGUAAAAAAUUUGAUGUUGAAGGGAUUUUAAGAGAGAUUCUUAAUUCUCUUAGACAAGACUUGAGUGAUUUAGAAUUUGAUGAUUUAGAAUAUGAUGAAGUACGUCAAAUAUGUGCAAAAAUUUUGGUGGCGAAAAAAUAUCUUCUCAUACUUGAUGAUGUGCAGAAUGAAGAUCCUAAGAAAUGGGAUACUUUAAAGGGUUACUUAUUAGAACUUAAUUCCAAUAUGGGAAAUAGUAUUGUUGUUACAACCCGUAAUGAGAAUGUGGGGCAAAUCAUGAAGAUACAUCCCCCACAUCACUUAGAGAAGUUAUCAAAAGAUGAUUGUUGGAGUAUAAUGAAAAAAAGAACAUUUAUAGAUAGAAGAAUUCCAUUAACUUUAGAUUUGGAGGUUAUUGGCAUGGAAAUUGCUAAAAGAUGUGGAGGGGUUCCAUUGGUUGCUAGAGUUUUAGGGGGAACAAUGUGCUUUCAAUUUGAUAAAAACAAAUGGCUAGAGAUUCAAAAUAAUAAAAUUUGGGAUUUUUUGGAUGAAGAUAACAGUGACAUCUUUCCUGUGCUUAAGUUAUGCUUUGAUCAUCUUCCAACACCAUCUUUAAAACGAUGUUUUGCAUAUUGUGCAAUAUUUCCCAAAGAUUAUGACUUGAAAAAGGAUGAAGUAAUUCAGUAUUGGAUGGCUGAAGGGUUCCUUGAACUCGCUAAAGAAGCAAAUAUAAUGAUGGAAGAUAUUGGUAGCAUGUAUUUCAAUAUUUUGUUGGCCACUUCCUUUUUCCAAAAUGCUAGAAAGGAUGCAUACAGUAAUAUUAUUAGCUGCAAAAUGCAUGAUUUGGUGCAUGACUUUGCACUCUCAAUUUCAAAAUUUGAAACUCUAAUCUUGGAGGGAGAUUCAGUGGACGAUGGUAGUAGCAUGCAACAUUUAUUUGCCCGACUUGAUGGCAAAACAACACUAGGAAGUUCAUUUAGUGGAGUUGAUUUUACAAAAUUGCGCACAUUAAUUUCAGAAAAUUUCAACUUUGACAUCAUGUUAUCAAAUUUUAAAUGCUUACGCGUUUUAAAAUUAUUCGGCGAUAGUAUAAUGGAGUUGCCAGAUUCAAUUGACCAAUUAAUACAUUUGAGGCUUCUUCACAUUUCAAGCUCCUUAAUUGGAGAAUUACCAAAAUCCAUCACCAAACUAUACAAUUUGCAAACUUUAAGAAUUAAAGGCCGUGUAGAAGAGCUUCCGGAAGACCUAAGCAAUUUGAUUAACUUAAGACAUAUUCAUAUUAAUCAUAUCAAUCAUAUUUGGGAUCAUUUUAUACGAACACCUAACAAUAUGGGGCGGUUGACUUGCCUUCAAACAUUGCAAUCUUUUUGGGUGGGUGCAGAUGAAGGUUAUCGAAUUAAAGAAUUGGGAUGUUUGAAGAAUCUCAGAGGAGAAAUAAACAUACAGAGUCUAGAGAAUGUGGAAGAUGAGGAAGAAGCCAAAAGUGCAAAAUUAAAAGAAAAGGAAAUAUUCAACUUGGGAUUAUUUUGGAGUCUUCUUCGUAGAGAAUUGGGCUGGUAUGAUAAAGAUGAAAAGGUGUUGGAAGGCCUCCAGCCUCACCCAAAUUUGAAAAGCUUAACAAUCAAAAGGUAUCUUGGAAAGAAAUUCCCAUCAUGGGUUGGUUUGUCUUCGCUAUAUCACAAUUUGAUUGAGAUCAAUUUGAGAUAUUGUAUGGAAUGUGAAGAAGUUCCCACUCUGGGGCAAUUACCCUGUCUUAGGGUUCUUGAAAUAAUAGGAAUGGGGAAGGUAAGAUGUAUAGGAAGUGAGUUUUACUUUUACAGUGAUGGAAGUUACAGAAAUACUACUACAUUAUUUCCAGCAUUGAGAAUACUCAAAUUGGAGGGGAUGAAAGCCCUAGAAGAGUGGAAGGAUGCAAAGGAGUUGACAACCGCAGAUGAGGUGUUGUUUGUGUUUCCUUGUCUUGAGGAGUUGACCUUAAUUCAAUGUGAGAAACUGACAGAUUUGCCAGACUCACUGCAUGUUUCCCGUCAGAAGUUAGUAGUACAGUGUUGUCCUAUGCUGAGGUCAUUGCCAGGUGUCUGGUCCCUUCAGAAGUUGGUAGUACAGGAUUGUCGUAAGAUAAGGUCAUUGCCAGGUGUCCCGUCCAUAAUAAGGGGUGGUAAUGAAGACCCACCCAAUGGGUUACAGCGUGUUGAAUAUUUGGAGAAUGGGGAUUGUCAUCUGCCUUCUUCUUCCUCCAUUCACGCCUCCCUCCAAAAGCUAAAGCUAACAUGGUGUGACUAUCUCCUGGACCAAAUUCAAUACUUCGUUGCCCUUAAAAUUCUGUGGAUAGAGGGAUUUAUGGAGAUGGUAGCUUUGCCAGAGUGGUUGGGCAAUCUUUCCUCUCUUCAACGGCUGUAUAUUGUGAAUUGCUGGACACUGCUGUAUCUACCCGCGGAGGAAGCCAUGCGACGCCUCACCCAAUUGAAAAAGCUGAUCAUUUAUAAUUGCCCCAAAUUUGAAGACAAUGAGCGGAUCAAGAUUAGCCACGUUCCAUGGGUUAAAAUCAAGGCUUAUCCGGAGCCCCUGCCACGUUGCAAAGAUUUUGAAGACUAACUCAAAAAGAUGGCAAGAAGUUUGCAUUUGGAAAAAUAAUUAACUUGAUGACAACUGAUGCCCAGGCACUUCAGGGGAUUUCUUAGGACUCGGGGCUCUCAGGUGAUAAGGUGAGUCUUUUUAAAAGUCUGGCAAUGCUUUACUCUUGAACGCAUCUUCUGCAGAUGAUGCUAAAAAUGAGAUUAUAUAGCUUGGGGGGACACUGGAGGCAGUAUUUUGUACGUAGUUUCUGACAAGAAGAAGGAAUUCUUUCCUAAACUAAGCAAUUGCGGUUGGCUGAUCGUUGUUUUCAGAUCUCUUGGGCAAGAACCAGCAGAUGGCAACUGGUAACAGUGUUGUGACUGUUGGAUACGUUAUGAAACCUUCUCGUGAAGAAGAUUUUGCUAAGAGGGGUGCAUUUCCUUUGUUUCCUACUCAGAAUGGGUUGAUAUUCAUGCCCCUCACCUUUGAGCUUCCUUUAUCACCUCAAUUACAAGAGGUUGACAUAGUUCUCCAUAAGCAACUGAUGAAAUUAUAUCCAUUGAAUUGAAGAGUCAUACAAACUUCUCUAACAAAAUAGUUUACACCAGCGGCAUGCAGGACUUACAAAGAUCGGCUGGAAAUUCAAGAAAUUCUACUUCGCUUGGAGGAUCUCAAAACCGAAGGCUGCUCUACAAUCAGGGGCCCCCAUUUUCUGAAGGUUGAUAGUUUCAAAGAACCUGAUUUGUUGCGAAGGCUGUCUGAAAGCUAAAUUAUCUCUUCCAAGUAUAGUGAAGCCUCAAGUUGCAUGUGGUGUAGCUAAUGCUCACAAGAUGGUGACAUUUUGGUGGUUUCUCUAGAUCAAGCAAAUGGUCUGAGGAUAGUUCUCAAUAUCUUAAGCAUAAGGAUACCUUUCUGAAGAAGAGCACUUAGGACUCGCCUCUGGCCAAUAAAGCACACAAGCAACUAAACUCACCUACCAAAUUCAAUUGUUGGGAAAUCUAGGGGCAUUCACCCCUGAUGGGCUAAAUAGUUUAUACUCAGAUGCAUCUUCAACAGUUCAACCUCUUCAUCACACUUGAGUUUCUUACCAACAACACCCAAUUAAAAUCUCUCACUUGGGAUUCUUUUGAAAUAUAAAAGGAAGAGUAAAAGAAAUAGUCUUCUCUCUAGUCAAUUACUUGUCAAUAAUGAAAAAUAGGCUAUUAUAUAUGUGGACGGCCCAAUCUUUUGUCUCCUCUUCAUCUAUUUGAACACACUACACUAACAUAUUUGAAAAUCAUAGAACCAAAUAGUUAGAAUAUCUUCUACAGUAACUAGAGAACUUAUUGUUUAUACAUGAGCUAUACAUUUGCAAGAAGCCACAAUAUCUACUUAUGGUGUAACAAGCUCCAUUGCGUGAAAAAAUUCCAGUGAUCUUUCAUUGUCCCAAUCCAGAGGUCAUGUAGUUUAGUUCAAAAGGGUCUAAUUUCCAUGUUCCUUUGAUUAAGGUAAACCUUUGAUACAUCUUGUUCUAAGGUUAAAAUCAUUUAAAACCGGUAUGCUCUCUCAAACCUUUUGUUUGCUGUAUCACCUUGAAAUUGACUAACUAUUCAUGAUUUGUUCUCUACUCUGCUUAUUCUUGGGUUAAUGAUAUCCAAAGAGUUUUGUGUUGAACCAUUAAUUCAUAUUUAUUUAAAAUUUUUUGCUGCAUAGCUUUUGUGUAUCUUCAAAUUUUAGCUCUAUUUUAUUGUGGUUCUUCCAUUAUGGUUGGAUUUCUUUUUGCAUACCAAAUAUCUCUCAGAAACUAAGUUUUUAGGAUUUCAUUUGAAUUAUUGCAUUUACUUAUGUUUUCAUAUUCUUUGUUAAUAUUCAAC